GCAGUCGUGGCCGAGUGGGUAAGGCGAUAGACUAGAAAUCUAUUGGGAUCUUCCCGCACAGGUUCGAAUCUUGUCGACUGCG
rnacentral:tRNA from 1 species